rnacentral:piRNA from 1 species
GCCUUCUUCUGAUCUUCUGUGUAGAUGCUA